CGAGGGGCAGCAUUUUACUAGCAAUAGUAAAGAUGGCGACCGGCGCACGGGUGAGUAACACGUAUCCAACCUGCCGAUAACUCGGGGAUAGCCUUUCGAAAGAAAGAUUAAUAUCCGAUAGUAUAUUUUCUCCGCAUGGCGAGAAUAUUAAAGAAUUUCGGUUAUCGAUGGGGAUGCGUUCCAUUAGGCAGUUGGUGAGGUAACGGCUCGCCAAACCUUCGAUGGAUAGGGGUUCUGAGAGGAAGGUCCCCCACAUUGGAACUGAGACACGGUCCAAACUCCUACGGGAGGCAGCAGUGAGGAAUAUUGGUCAAUGGGCGCGAGCCUGAACCAGCCAAGUAGCGUGAGGGAUGAAGGCUCUAUGGGUCGUAAACCUCUUUUAUAUGGGAAUAAAGUUUUCCACGUGUGGAAUUUUGUAUGUACCAUAUGAAUAAGGAUCGGCUAACUCCGUGCCAGCAGCCGCGGUAAUACGGAGGAUCCGAGCGUUAUCCGGAUUUAUUGGGUUUAAAGGGAGCGUAGGUGGAUUGUUAAGUCAGUUGUGAAAGUUUGCGGCUCAACCGUAAAAUUGCAGUUGAAACUGGCAGUCUUGAGUACAGUAGAGGUGGGCGGAAUUCGUGGUGUAGCGGUGAAAUGCUUAGAUAUCACGAAGAACUCCGAUUGCGAAGGCAGCUCACUAGACUGUCACUGACACUGAUGCUCGAA
rnacentral:rRNA from 1 species